GCCGAGCUGAGUAACGUAAGCUUAUAACCUAAGUGGGGGCAUCAAGGUGAUUGAAGAAGGCUUUGGCUUGCUAAGCUGGACUGGAGGUUUGCAUCUUGCUGGCUUGCCCACUCCAAGCCGGGAGUUUGAACCAUGAGGCCUUGCCUUUGCGAAGGCAAGGGUUUCCUAGUUCCUAAAUAGGAGGGCACCGCGUGAGGCUGGUUUCACAGAGCAGCGACAACCUCCGAUUCUUGACAGUGGAGGGAUAACAGACGGCUGCGCCUCCAGCCCCAAUCGAGCUUGGUGAGCCUUGCUCUUGAACAAUCAUUUUU
rfam:Vigna angularis cultivar Jingnong 6 scaffold113_14, whole genome shotgun sequence.